rnacentral:rRNA from 1 species
AGUGAACGCUGGCGGUAGGCCUAACACAUGCAAGUCGAACGGCAGCACAGUAAGAGCUUGCCCUUACGGGUGGCGAGUGGCGGACGGGUGAGGAAUACAUCGGAAUCUACUUUUUCUUGGGGGAUAACGUAGGGAAACUUACGCUAAUACCGCAUACGACCUACGGGUGAAAGCAGGGGAUCUUCGGACCUUGCGCGAUUGAAUGAGCCGAUGUCGGAUUAGCUAGUUGGCUGGGUAAAGGCCCACCAAGGCGACGAUCCGUAGCUGGUCUGAGAGGAUGAUCAGCCACACUGGAACUGAGACACGGUCCAGACUCCUACGGGAGGCAGCAGUGGGGAAUAUUGGACAAUGGGCGCAAGCCUGAUCCAGCCAUACCGCGUGGGUGAAGAAGGCCUUCGGGUUGUAAAGCCCUUUUGUUGGGAAAGAAAAGCAGCAGGUUAAUACCCCGCUGUUCUGACGGUACCCAAAGAAUAAGCACCGGCUAACUUCGUG